rnacentral:rRNA from 1 species
UACGUAGGGGGCAAGCGUUAAUCGGAAUUACUGGGCGUAAAGCGUGCGCAGGCGGCUUCCUAAGUCAGAUGUGAAAUCCCCGGGCUCAACCUGGGAACUGCGUGUGAAACUGGGAGGCUAGAGUGCGGCAGAGGGGGGUGGAAUUCCACGUGUAGCAGUGAAAUGCGUAGAUAUGUGGAGGAACACCGAUGGCGAAGGCAGCCCCCUGGGCCAGCACUGACGCUCAUGCACGAAAGCGUGGGGAGCAAACAGG